CAACUUAAAAAUUACCCUGCUAGACUUUUACUGCGUUUUAAGUACUGCCUACAAUUGCUCUGUCAGGGCCAGACCAAUUGAUUUGCUGGUCUUAUCCUGCACACAGGCCAGAUGUUCCCCACCCCUGUAAGGCAUUAAGUAAAGAAAAAUAAGUAUAAAUCUUAUCACACAAUAAAAACUGUCCUAUGGGCUUUAUUCCUUAAACACAGAAAAUGAACCACCUUGAAGUCUACGUGAGAUACCCAGAGUUCUGCUUUACUUAUCAUUCAUCUGAGAUGGAGAAGGUGGCCUUGGGUGAGCCGAGACUUUCUGGACGCAGUCCCUGUUACUGACUGUGUAGCAGUGAGCAGCUUAGCCACGUGUGAACCUUCAGCUCUCUGAAAUCCCAUCAUAAUAUUGCCACCUGAGGCACACCUCCGUUCAGUAUUAGCGUUUGCUUACCAAAGCCGUAGAGAUUACGUACCAAGAGAACUGGGGAAUAUCUCAACGGAGAAGCAGUUAGGAAAAAACAUUAAACAAUAUGGAGAAUUCGACGCCAUCUGUGAGUGUCUUGGCAGAUUGGAAACACAUUUUACAAUCGUUUAUUGGUAAUUCUGAAGGCAUAUUAAUAUAUGAAGAGCUUUUUGAUUUAUUGUUUUAAAUUACUUUCACCAAAAGGAAGAAAAAAGGAGAAUUGAAAGAGAAUUCGAGAGAGAGAAAGCUCAUAAAUGAGAACCUAAAUUGAGAGGUUUUGAUCUCAAGUAAUGCUGAGACUCCGUCAAGAGAUGGUUCUCCAUGGAUUUCUUGCAGUUCUGUGGAUCUGAGCAAAGAAGUCUGUCAUUCUCGCGCUGUCAACAGUGUUAUAUGCAGGGUUACUGUACCUUGGCAGUCAUGCCUACAAUAAUGUGGCAAAGUAUCCUCUAAAAUGAGACGGACACAGGAACAGAGGCCAGGAUGGGAGAGGAGAAGAAUGGAGUCCGAGUGAGGAGUUUCUGGUCUCAGUGAGAUGUGGAUGCAUCAAGAUUAACCCCAAGUAAGUUGAGAAGCGUCUGUGUUCUUUGAAAUCUACUGGGCUGGACACACCCACAGUAACAGAGGAGGUCACAUUCCUGGCAAAGGUGAGAGGUCAUCACUGCCUUGGUUCUGAUCUGAAGCUGAAGACUCUGCCUUCAAGACUCAGGAGGGAGACUUUCCUGUUGAUCCUGAAAAGGCAAGCAGCCCAGUCGUGAAUAAUUACAGAACGAAAAAACAACAACAGAAAGUGCUGGUAACUCCUGAGACAAGUGUGGUGGCCCUCGAUCAAUGUCCAGGGAGAAAAUAGGGACCUAAAACUUCCUAUCCCCACAAGGAGAUGAAUUCAGUGACACGACCUGUGGGCAUAUGAUGAGCUGGCUGCCAUCUCAGCCACAGUUUUCUUGGAUCUUGAGAGCAUUGGCUGAGCCGUGCCCAGGCUCAUUUGUAAACUGUAAGGUGAUAGAUGAGUAUGUGUCCAUCUGCAUUUGUGAUCGUUUGUUUGGUAAUAACAUGCAGCUAACGCACAGCCCUUAAGUUGUGAAGGAUGUAACCGAAGAAAUAAUAGCCAGUUUUUUUACAAAAAUGACAUCAUAUAUUAAAGAUGACAUUCAAGCUCAGGACUUGGUCUGAUCAGAUUCUACGGCUUGUGAAGUAUUAAAGUCAUGGACAGAGACUGUGGUUAUUUCCCAUCAGACAUCACGCUAUCAGGUUAAUGUGAACUUGAGCACUUACAUCAGGCAUGUUAAAGUGAAUGCCUUGGCAGUGGAGAUUCAGAAAGAAUUGAAAAAAAAAAAGUCAACUAUUUUUAUUAAACUUUUCAUUUUUUUCUGUCAUUAAAAUCUAAAAGAUUACUAAAUGAAGUCACCAGACAAAUAAAAUGAGUAGAUAAAAAUGUAGUAAAAUACUUUUAAAGAAUUUAUUUAUUUAUUGAAAGGCAAUGGAGAGAAGAGGAGAGAAAGAUAGAGAGGAAGCUUCCAUUUGCUGGUUCACUCAUCAGAUCCCUGCAACAGCCUGGGCUUGACAAAGUCAAGAGUACAGGAACCCAAUCCAGAUCUCCCAAGUGGGUGGCUGGGACCCAAGUGUUAAUCUACCAUUGCUGUCUCCUGGAGUGCAUAUUAGCAGGCAGCUGGAAUUAAGAGUGGAGCGGCGACUCAAAUCCAGGCACUUCAACAUGGGCUGAGUGUUACCAAUUAUGUAUUUUUUUAAAAAGAUUUUUAUUUUUUUAUUUAUUUACUUUAAAGUCAGAGUUACACAGAGAGAGAGGCAGAGAGAGAGGAGAGAGGUCUUUCAUCCGAUGGCUCACUCCUCAAUUGGCCACAACGGCCAGAUCUGAGCCAAUCCAAAGCCAGGAGCCAGGAGCUUCUUCUGGGUCUCCCACACAGGUGCAGGGGCCCAAGGACUUGGGCCAUCUUCCACUGCUUUUCCAGGCCAUAGCAGAGAGCUCGAUUGGAAGUGGAGCAGCCAGGACUUGAACCGGUGCCCAUAUGGGAUGCCAGCGCUUCAGGCCAGGGCUUUAACCUGCUGCGCCAUAGUGCCAGCCCCACCAAUUAUGUAUUAACUACCAUUCCACACACCUGUCCAAACAUAACUAAAUUCUUAAGGGCUAAUAGAAAACGUAAAAAAAAGUAAUGAAGACUUAAAUUCCACUGCUGUCAGUUAUGAUUGAUAGAUGAUGUGAACAACAAUGCACUUUAAAUAUUGGGCCAAAAAAAUUGAUAAAAUGAACAUAAAAUAAAAUCAGGGAUUAGUCUUUACCUUCUUCCCUUUGGGGAGGUUUUAACAAAAUUGAUAGACUUUAUUUCUUAGAAAUGUUUGAAUUUUUUUAAAGAUUUAUUUUUAUUUAUUUGCAAGACACAGUUAGAGAGAGAGGUAGAGACAGAGAGAGAGGUCUUCCAUCUGCUUCUUCACUCCCCAGAUGGCCGCAAUGGCUGGAGCUGCGCCGAUCUGAAGCCAGGAGCCAGGAGCUUCUUCCAGGUCUCCCAUGCGGGUGCAGGGGCCCAAGGACUUGGGCCAUCUUCCACUGCUUUCCCAGGCCAUUGCAGAAAGGUGGAUUGGGAGAGGAGCAACUGGGACUAGAACCGGUGCCCAUGUGGGAUGCUGGCACUUCAGACCAGGAGUUUAACCCACUGUGCCACAGCGCACAGCACAGUGGGUUAAAAAAAUAAAAAGAAAAUACAGAGAUUUCCCAUAUAGUGCCACUUCCCCUCAUCCCAGAGUUCCCUCUAUUACUAAUAUCUUCCUUCAGUGUGGGAUGUAUGUUGUAUGUGCUAUUGAUAACUGAGUUUGUCUAAUGUUGAAACAUAAAUACUACUCACAAUACUUUACAUUUGAUUAUGCUCUGCUUUGUAUAUCCAAUGGACUUCAGCAAAUUUAUAAUUUCAGAGUUCCUUAAGCUGGUUUCACUGCCUAAAAAUUCUCGUCUCCAUAGUUUUGCCUUUUCUGGUAUAUGGUAUACUUGCAUUCUUUACAGGAUGUAAGCUUUUGAGAUUGGCUUUGUUCACUAAAUAAUUUGCAUUUAAAUUUCCUUCAUGUAUUUUUGUAGCUUUAUAGCUCAUUUCUUUCUUUUCUUUUUUUUUUAAAGAUUUUAUCAAUUUCUUUGAGAGGGAAAGACAGAGAGAAAGGUCUUGCAUCUGCUGGUUCACUCCCCAAAUGGCCAUAAAGGCUGGAGCUGGGCCAACCUAAAGCCAGGAGCUAGGAGCUUCUUCCAGAUCUCCCACACAGGUAUGGGAACCCAAGCACUAAGGCCAUCUUCCGCUGCUUUCCCAGGCCAUAAGCAGAGAGCUGGCUGGGAAGAAGAGCAUCCAGGACACGAACUGGUGCCAUAUGGGAUGGUGGCCUUGCAGGCAGAGGCUUAGCCUACUAUGCCACAGCGCCAGCACCAGCUCAUUUCUUUUUAUCUGUAAAUAACACCCCAUUGAAUGGAUGGAACACAGUUUGUUGAUCCAUUUAUUUCUUGAAAUUUCAGAAUUCUUUAAGUACUUUGUUUAUAAGUUCUUUAUCAGAUAUGAAAUUUGAAAGUAGUAUCUUUACAUUGUUAGCUUGAGUUUUUCUGAUUUCUUAAGAACAGAUGUUUUUCAUUUCAGUGAAGUCCAACUUAAUAAUUUAGUCAUCUUUUAUUUUAAAUUUAGAGCACACAAAUUAUGUAAUGAAAAGUCCUGACUUUUGAUGAAUUAUUUUAUGAGGCAUAAAGUAUAUAGAGAAUACUAAGAAAUGUUUCAAAUGUGAUUAUUUGUAUAGCUUAUCUUUUCUUGAUUUAUGUAUUGAUAACCACCAAAUCAAAAAUGAAUUACUCAGAGCUGUUCUUACAGGCAAGAUGGCAGAUUCCUAGAGUUUGCGAAUUUUUAAAGCUACCGGGGCUGGCAUUGUGUUGCAGUGAGUUAAGUGACACCCGUGCUUCAGGCAUCCCUCGUGAGCUCUAGUUCAAGUCCUGGCUGCUCUAUUAAUGAUCCGGCUCCCAGCGAAUUUGCCUGGCAAAGCAGUGGGAGAUGGCCAAGGGCUUGGGCUCCUGGUAUCCAUGGGGGAGACCCAGUUGGAGCUCCAGGCUUCUGGAUUCAACCUGGCCAAGCUCUGGCCCCUGUAGCCAUUUAGGGAGUGAACCAGCUUGUGGAAGCUGUCUCCCUCCCUCUUUCUAACUCUCUUUCAUGUAAAUAACAAACUCAUUAAAAAGUGAUAAAAAUUUAAAGUAAAAGCACACCAAUACUAUUCAAAAAAGUGACUGCCAAUUAAAACCACUUUGGAAACUAAAAGUGUUUUCCUCUUUGAAAUAUAAGCAACAAAUAUGCAUGUAGUUCAAAGAAAAUUAUAAAUUCCUUUAUUCUUGUUAAGUAGUAGAAAUCCUUGCUUUGGGGGAAAUUGUGUUCAGAAUUAAAAAUUUAUUUGAAGGGCUUUCUAAAUUCCAUACACACACACACACACACACACAAUUUUCCCUUAUGCUAAUUAACAUGGGCUAAUCAGCCAAUGUUUAUGGCACUCUUUUUGAGGAAUUUUAUUCAUACUUUCAAAUGUACUUUUCAUUACCAAUGUUAAAUAUAAUUUAGAAUAUGAAUGUUUUACAAGUAACCAGUGAUAUUUGAGAGUCAUUUUUGCAUCUUAUAAUCAUGUUGAGAGAACUAGAACAUUAGUAUUUGAUUGGUAACUUCUAAGCCUUUUUUGACCAGUCAUAAUUAACACUCUGUUCUUGGACAUUUGUGUUCAACUUCCUUAAAUUUAUAUAUCUAACAAUGGGUCCUCAAAGAUUAUCAAAGAAUUGCUCAUUUAAAAAAAAUCUGUUUCUGUCUCUCUAUUACAUCUCCUUUGCAAAAGAAUUUUUCACAUUUAGUUGGUUUAGCUGAUGAAGCUUGUUAGGGAAAUAUCUGUACACUUCGUUAGAGUUCUUCCGAUCUUUUAAAAGUCUUAUACUGAAGUGUUUUAAAUAUUUACUAAUGCAGCAUUAAGUUGCUUUGUUUUUAACACCUUAGUCAUCAAUUUCUAUGUCUAGAAAGUAAGUGAAUUGAUUAAUUGUAAGAAUGUUUGAUGGCAAAUUGUAGAUUUAGAUGCUGCAUAUUAGAUAGUGUUAAGUGUGAUACAAACCCCCUUUCUAGUCUUGUACUAGUUUAUUAUGCAUAGAUUUGGUUCUUAUGUAACAAUUUGACAAUUCAGUAAUGUGAUUACCCUUCUAGAACAUCAAAAAUAAAAAAAAAAAAUAAAAAGACAUAUCAAUGGGAAAAAAAAAACAUAAUGUCUGAGUUGACUGGAGAUAUUUUCUGGUAGAUCAACCAUAACCAUUUAGAUAAUUGAAAUUAAACUACCUAAAGAAGAAGGCAAUUCUUGUUCACAAGCUCAGAAAAUAAAUUACACAAUCAAUAAAUAGUAAAUAAUGUAAUGCUGACAGUAGCAUAUGGUGCUAAAAAUCUACGAAGAUUAUAGUUGAUCAUAAAUGAGUGUCUAUUAACUUAUAUUUCAGUUAGCAUAAUAGUUAAUGCUGGCAUUAGAGUGUUUAUGAUUAUUAUAGGAGCCAACAAAGUAUUAAAAUAAUGAACAUUAGCAUACAAGCACUAAUCUAUUAACACAUUAAAGGGAAAUGUUAUUUAUCAUAGGACCAUUCUAAAUGUACCAUAGUUAGAAAUCAAAAUGCCUCUUUAUGCUAUGUUUGUAUAAGAAUAAUUGCAAUGUUUGUUUAUUUUUAAUAAAAGCUUAAAAUGUUUUGUUUAGAGUUAUGUUUCUAUCGCACUUUUUCUAUUGAAAAAGUGAGGCCAGCCUUGUGGCACAACAGAUAAGUUGUGCCUGUGACAUCGUCAUCCCUUGUUUACCCAGGUUUGAAUGCCACUUCCCCACUUCCAAUCCAGCAGCCUAUUAAUGAGCUGGGGAAUCAGUGGAUGAUCCAAAAGCUUGGCCCCCUGACAACCAUGUGGGAAACCCAGUUGGACUUCCGGACUCCUGAAUUAGGCCUGGCCCAAGCCCUGCUAUUGAAUGUUUUCUACUCUUUUAUUUGGCCAGAUUUCCACUUUUAAUUUGGCUGCCUGAUCUCUGUAGAAAUUUGAUUUUCCUAAAACACAUUGUUUUUAAUGAUUUCUGUCAUUUCCAUGUAGUCUCACUUUGUAAUGGACCAAACAGAAUUAGAAAGUCAUCCUUGAUUGAUAAUUUAGUAUCUCACAUAAUGACAUAUUUAUUUUUAAAUUUAGGGGAGAUGUGUUAGCAAAAUCCAUGGGGAAAUGUUACAGAGUUUUAUAAUGACUUCAUUUUAAAGUCCUCAAAUAAACUCAAUGAAUAGAAUUGUCUAAUUGACCUUCUCAAUCUUUUUUUCCUCUAUUAACUCCAGAGCUAUAAGUUCCUCUCACUUUAUUAAAACAGGAGUAAUACUGAUCUCUCUCUCAACUCAAUUGUGCCUUUCUCAGUGGACUGGAAUUCCUGUAAAAUCAAUCAAUAUAUUUUCUCCUCAAGAAUAUAAUUCUUCCCAUGAAAAAUAUUGUUUAUCCCUAUGUUAAAGUGAUGGUAAUUUUCUUUCAGAUAUACUCUUAGUGAAGUUUUAUGAUUUGAUAAGUGUUUCAAUCCAUGUGAUGGUCUUAUCUGGCUAUAGAUAAAUACCAUAUUUCAAAGGCAAAUUUGAACAGAAAAUUCCCCCAAUAAGGGUACAGAUGAAUGGCCCAAAAGAAUCUAACAUGCUACAAUA